UACGGAGGGUGCAAGCGUUAUCCGGAUUUACUGGGUUUAAAGGGUGUGUAGGCGGACUAUUAAGUCAGCGGUGAAAUCUCCGGGCUCAACCUGGGGGCUGCGUUUGAUACGUGUAGACUUGAGUGCGGAAGAGGGUCGUGGAAUUCCCAGUGUAGAGGUGAAAUUCGUAGAUAUUGGGAAGAACACCGGUGGCGAAGGCGGCGACCUGGUCCGAUACUGACGCUGAGGCGCGAAAGCGUGGGGAGCAAACAGG
rnacentral:rRNA from 1 species